rnacentral:rRNA from 1 species
GGCUCAGGAUGAACGCUAGCGGCAGGCUUAAUACAUGCAAGUCGUGGGGCAGCAUGAGUAGCAAUACUUGAUGGCGACCGGCAAACAGGUGAGGAACACGUACACAACCUUCCUUCAAGCGGGGAAUAGCCCAGAGAAAUUUGGAUUAAUACACAUAAUAUAUUUGAUAAGGCAUCUUAUUAAUAUUAAAGCUUCGGCACUUGAUGAUGGGUGUGCGGCUGAUUAGAUAGUUGGCGGGGUAACGGCCCACCAAGUCUACGAUCAGUAGCUGAUGUGAGAGCAUGAUCAGCCACACGGGCACUGAGACACGGGCCCGACUCCUACGGGAGGCAGCAGUAAGGAAUAUUGGACAAUGGACGAAAGUCUGAUCCAGCCAUGCCGCGUGAAGGAUUAAGGUCCUCUGGAUUGUAAACUUCUUUUAUAUGGGACGAAAAAAGGGCGUUCUUGUUCACUUGACGGUACCAUAUGAAUAAGCACCGGCUAACUCCGUG